UGGGGAAUUUUGCACAAUGGGGGAAACCCUGAUGCAGCGACGCCGCGUGAUUUAGAAGGCCUUCGGGUUGUAAAAAUCUUUUCUAUGGGAAGAAAAUGACAGUACCAUAGGAAUAAGGACCGGCUAAUUACGUGCCAGCAGCCGCGGUAAUACGUAAGGUCCGAGCGUUGUCCGGAAUCAUUGGGCGUAAAGGGUACGUAGGCGGGUAAGCAAGUUAGAAGUGAAAUCCUGUAGCUCAACUACAGUAAGCUUUUAAAACUGCUCAUCUUGAGAUAUGGAAGGGAAAGUGGAAUUCCUAGUGUAGCGGUGAAAUGCGCAGAUAUUAGGAGGAAUACCGGUGGCGAAGGCGGGUCUCUGGGCCGUUACUGACGCUGAGGAGCGAAAGCGUGGGGAGCGAACAGG
rnacentral:rRNA from 1 species